CACCCCACUGCACUCCAGCCUGGGUGACAGAACAAGACCUUGUCUCAAAAAAAGAAAAGAAAAGAAAUUUUAUAACUAGCCACAUUAAUAUAAACCCUUAUAUUUUGAUAAGUUUUUUGUAUUUUUGUGUUUUUUUAUGGUAGGAUAAUCAUAUUUGUAAGUAAUUAUAAUUUGUUUCCCUCUUUUUGAUGUUUUAUACCUAAUUGCAUUAGCUAAGAUCUUUAGAAUAAUGUUAAAUAACAAGCUAUUAGAACUCUUCAUCUUGUUCUCAGAUUUGAUGGAAUGCUACUUGUAUUUUACUCUUGAUUUUGGCUGUUGGUUUGAGAUUUAUUUAUCAUGUGAAGUAAGUAUAUUUUGAUUUCCCAUUUACUUGAGCUUUUAAAAAGAAAAUCGGAAAUGGAUGUCGCAAUUGACCAAACAUCUAUUCGGUAUGUAAAAUGAUCUUUUUCUCCUUUGACCUAUUGCUGUAGCAAAUCAGCUCACUGCCAUUCUAAUAUAGAGUUAUCCAUGCAUUCCAGGAAUGUUUGCUCAUGGUGUAUUCUUUUAAUACAUUGUUGACAUACAUUGGACUUGAUCUGAUUAAAUUUUCAUGAGGACUCUACAUCUG